UGAGGAAUUUUGCGCAAUGGGGGAAACCCUGACGCAGCAACGCCGCGUGAGUGAUGAAGGCUUUCGGGUCGUAAAGCUCUGUCGAGUGGGAAGAAAUGGUGCAGGUUAAUAUCCUGUAUUUUGACGGUACCACUAAAGGAAGCACCGGCUAACUCCGUGCCAGCAGCCGCGGUAAUACGGGGGGUGCAAGCGUUAUUCGGAAUUAUUGGGCGUAAAGGGUGCGUAGGCGGUUUUGUAAGUCAGAUGUGAAAUACCGGGGCUUAACUUCGGAACUGCAUUUGAUACUGCAAGACUUGAGUAUGGGAGAGGGAAGCGGAAUUCCUGGUGUAGAGGUGAAAUUCGUAGAUAUCAGGAGGAACACCGGUGGCGAAGGCGGCUUCCUGGACCAAUACUGACGCUGAGGCACGAAGGCGUGGGGAGCAAACA
rnacentral:rRNA from 2 species